rnacentral:rRNA from 1 species
AGUGAACGCUGGCGGUAGGCCUAACACAUGCCAGUCGAACGGCAGCACAGUAAGAGCUUGCUCUUACGGGUGGCGAGUGGCGGACGGGUGAGGAAUACAUCGGAAUCUACUUUUUCGUGGGGGAUAACGUAGGGAAACUUACGCUAAUACCGCAUACGACCUACGGGUGAAAGCAGGGGAUCUUCGGACCUUGUGCGAUUGAAUGAGCCGAUGUCGGAUUAGCUAGGUGGCGGGGUAAAGGCCCACCAAGGCGACGAUCGGUAACUGGUCUGAGGGGAUGAUCAGCUAGACUGUAAGUGAGACACGGCCGAGACUCCUACGGGGGGCAGCAGUGGGGAAUAUUGGACGAGGGACGAAAGCCUGAUCCAGCCAUACCGCGUGAGUGAAGAAGGCCUUCGGGUGGGAAAGCCCUGUUGUUGGGAAAGAAAAGCAGCAGGUUAAUACCCCGCUGUUCUGACGGUACCCAAAGAAUAAGCACCGGCUAACUUCGUG